GUUCGACUGCUAGAGCCGAGCGAAGCGUGAGUGCGCGGGACCCCCUACCCCUACUCCUCGGGGCCCCCACCCUCCCAGCCGGGCCGUGAGCUGCCUUCGGCCCUCCACUCCUCUCGCCGGCAAUGGCCGCGGGAAAUGGCGGCUCUGCCUUACCUCCCCCUUCCCCUCGGCGUCCCCGGCCCCCUUCUCCGUUUCUGACUCCACGCCUGACGCGCUGUGGGCCCUUCCGCGGUAGACUCCUGUCCCCGGGGAGCCGAGUCGAGGCGGCGGGCGCUGCGGCCCGGGGCGGUAGAUUGAGGGCGGCCGGGGAGUGAGGAGUCGCGGGGAGAGAGUCGCGGCGUCCCCGGGACAAUGCGGCGGCGGCCUGCCUAGGCUCAUUAAGGAUGCCUAAAUCAAAGGAACUUGUUUCUUCAAGCUCUUCUGGCAGUGAUUCUGACAGUGAGGUUGACAAAAAGUUAAAGAGGAAAAAGCAAGUUGCUCCAGAAAAACCUGUAAAGAAACAAAAGACAGGUGAGACUUCGAGAGCCCUGUCAUCUUCUAAACAGAGCAGCAGCAGCAGAGAUGAUAACAUGUUUCAGAUUGCCGAAACUGUUUCAUCUUGCAAAACUGAACCUCUGUGGCCAUUAAACAACAGUUCCCCUUCUCCCAGCCCUGGUAACCACCAUUCUACUUUUUGUUCCUGUGAACUUGACAUCAUAUUGGGAAAAUGAGGUACGUUAGUGUUCGCGAUUUUAAAGGCAAAGUGCUAAUUGAUAUUAGAGAAUAUUGGAUGGAUCCUGAAGGUGAAAUGAAACCAGGAAGAAAAGGUAUUUCUUUAAAUCCAGAACAAUGGAGCCAGCUGAAGGAACAGAUUUCUGACAUUGAUGAUGCAGUAAGAAAACUGUAAAAUUCGAGC
rnacentral:lncRNA from 10 species